CCUACGGGUGGCUGCAGUGGGGAAUAGUGGACAAUGGGGGCAACCCUGAUCCAGCCAUGCCGCGUGUGUGAAGAAGGCCCUCGGGUUGUAAAGCACUUUCAGUGAGGAAGAACGCCUGGUGGUUAAUACCCAUCAGGAAAGACAUCACUCACAGAAGAAGCACCGGCUAACUCCGUGCCAGCAGCCGCGGUAAUACGGAGGGUGCGAGCGUUAAUCGGAAUUACUUGGCGUAAAGCGCGCGUAGGUGGCUUGAUAAGCCGGUUGUGAAAGCCCCGGGCUCAACCUGGGAACGGCAUCCGGAACUGUCAAGCUAGAGUGCAGGAGAGGAAGGUAGAAUUCCCGGUGUAGCGGUGAAAUGCGUAGAGAUCGGGAGGAAUACCAGUGGCGAAGGCGGCCUUCUGGACUGACACUGACACUGAGGUGCGAAAGCGUGGGUAGCAAACAGGAUUAGAUACCCCUGUAGUC
rnacentral:rRNA from 1 species